rnacentral:lncRNA from 1 species
UGAGAGUUAUUUGCGUUUUGGAGAGUAGGAAGGAACUUUAGGUAUCACUAACGAAUGUGGUGCAGCCAAUAUGAUUGUUCGUUCUUUAAUAAUUUUUUUAAAUUUAAGCUCUAGACAUGAAAAAAUUCUCGAUAAAAAAUAUUUACUUUUGAAUGAGAUCCUAUAUAACGCGAAUUCAAAAUAAUCAAAUACUAAUACAAAAAAAAAACAUUAAAAAAAAAAAAACUUUAGGUUAGAGAGUCACGG